AAAAGAAACCAACAGGGAUUACCUUAGUAGCGGCGAGUGAACAGGUAAAAGCUCAAAUUUGAAAUCUGCCCUCAGGCCGAGUUGUAAUUUGAAGAUGGCAUUUAGGAAUUGUCCUUGCUCAAGUUCUUUGGAACAAGACAUCAUGGAGGGUGAGAAUCCCGUGAUGCGAGGGUUGCAAUUCUGUGUUAUUUGCUUUCGACGAGUCGAGUUGUUUGGGAAUGCAGCUCUAAGUGGGUGGUAAAUUCCAUCUAAAGCUAAAUAUUGGCGAGAGACCGAUAGCGAACAAGUACUGUGAAGGAAAGAUGAAAAGAACUUUGAAAAGAGAGUGAAAAAGUACGUGAAAUUGUUGAAAUGGAAGGGCUUAAAGUUAGACAUCAUGCUUUCGUUUACGGGAGUAUGGGGCCAACAUCAGUUUUGAGGGCAGGAUAAAUGGUUAAGAAUGUAGCAACCUCGGUUGUGUUAUAGCUUUUCUAAAUACUGCCACUCGGGACUGAGGACCGCUUAUAGGAUGUUGGCGUAAUGACUUUAAGCCAC
rnacentral:rRNA from 1 species